rnacentral:snRNA from 1 species
AUACUUACCUAAUGCCGGGAACUCCGUGAUUAGGAAGGCGGAGACCCCAGGAGGAGGCCUUUCCAUUGCAUCUCGGAAAAGCUAAGACCUGCCACCCCCCUAAACUGGGAAAGAUGGGGCAUGUGAUUUUUGGUAGAUUUUGCUAAUUUAUAAUUAUAU